AUAGAAAUCUAGUUUAUUAAAAAUUUAAGCUUGUCAAGCUUAAGAAGUCAAUUGGGACGAUUUCUAA
rnacentral:tRNA from 1 species